UAAAAAAAAAAACCCCCCCCCGGGGGGGGGUUUUUUUUAAAAAAAAAAACCCCCCCCCGGUUUUUUAAAAAAGGGGGGGGUUUUUUUUUUUUUUUAAAAAACCGGGGGGUUUUACCCCCCGGGGGGGGGUUUUUUUUUUAAAAAAAAAAAAACCCCCGGGGGUUUUUUU
rnacentral:ncRNA from 1 species